rnacentral:ncRNA from 1 species
AUUAAAGCGAUGACGAAGACAGUAUGCCUGCUUAGUUGGUUCAGCGAGGUCCAUUUGGUGUGAGGGAUCCCAACUAACAGUCAGAACAUCCCUUCUGAGCGGUGCUGUGAAGUAAAACAGCAAUGGGCGCAACCAUUAUCUUGCUAACCUGUCGGCUUUUGGCCCGCAGGUGAUAAGGUCUAUUUAGUGAUAAAUAGUUAAAUUAGGGUGGUAACACGUUUUUAGCGUCCCGUAA